GUGGGGAAUCUUCCGCAAUGGACGAAAGUCUGACGGAGCAACGCCGCGUGAGUGAAGAAGGUUUUCGGAUCGUAAAGCUCUUUCGUUAGGGACGAACGUGCUCUUUGUGAAUAAUGAGGAGUAAUGACGGUACCUAAAUAAGAAGCCACGGCUAACUACGUGCCAGCAGCCGCGGUAAUACGUAGGUGGCAAGCGUUGUCCGGAAUUAUUGGGCGUAAAGCGCGCGCAGGCGGAAUAUCAAGUCUGUCUUAAAAGUGCGAGGCUCAACCUCGUGAGGGGACAGAAACUGGUAUUCUUGAGUGUCGGAGAGGAAAGUGGAAUUCCAAGUGUAGCGGUGAAAUGCGUAGAGAUUUGGAAGAACACCAGUGGCGAAGGCGACUUUCUGGACGAUGUCUGACGCUGAGGCGCGAAAGCUAGGGGAGCGAACGGGAUUAGAAACCCCGGUAGUCC
rnacentral:rRNA from 1 species